GUAAUAUCACGAGAGUGGAGGCGAGAAUAGCCCGAUAGCAAGAGAGAGGGACAGAGCGCGACCAAAAAGCAAGCAUAUAUGAGAAGACUUGGUGGAGUUGAUGACAUAGACAUGGUAAAAAAAAUCAAUGUCUGCAACUCUCUCAAAUGGAGUCAUGGCACAGUAUAAUCUGAAGGGAAAAUGUGGGAAGCUCCCAUUUUGUAAGACCCAACUCUUUCAGGUCAUAUGUGAUGCCGUCAUCAAUACACACAACACCACACACACAAAAGUAUUGGAGACCAUGUCCAAAUUCUUAAAAUAUGCCCCAGAGAGGAUGGGUGGUGGUGGUCGUAAUAGAAGUCUGCAUUGAAGCCCCCCUUUUUUUAUGCUUUUUUUUUUGUUUAAGAAAAAAAAUCCAUAGUUUUACAUGACUUGGCUUUGUUGUGGAAAUUUUAAUGAAAUAAAAUAUUUGUAGAGACUGAGAAUGAAAAACCA
ensembl:lncRNA